rnacentral:pre_miRNA from 1 species
CAGUCUCAAUGUGUAUUUUCAUCUGUACUCUGUUAAUACAGUAAAUACCAUUGAGAUUGCA